ensembl:lncRNA
GAGUCCAGGGUUUGUAACGAUACACCCGUAACUACCGUCGAUACGCUACGAAAAAAAACAAACGUUGUUAGCUGUACGAGCUAACAACAAAACCCGACCCGCGACAUUUUAUCUAUCGGUAACAGUGACAUCACCCUGUGAACGGCCGCAAAUCCGCGCCGGCCAUCGCUAAACACGUCACGUAUAUACUGCAUUCCAACAUAAACACGUUUCACGUUUCAGGGUGGAGUUUUCCGUUAAGAUUUCCCGACACCGAACUAAAUCCGAAUUUCCAGGUCCGGCAGUUUUUUUUUUUUCUUCUCUUUUCCCGCGCCGACCCGAGACGUUUCGAAUCGCGGGUUCGAUCGGUCUUUUCCGGAAUCCGGAAGAUCGCCUCUCCUCUCGGCCGAACGUGAAAACUCUUUACUCGUCGUCGUUUAUCGAAAUAAAAUGAAAAAACGGAAAAAAUAAAAAAACAAAACUGGUGUUUAGACGUGUGCUGUCUUGCUGUUCGGUGUCCGUAGCUGAGGAACCAUGGGUGUGAUACAAUCGUGGUGAAAGAGGAACGUUUUUAAAUCUCAUUUCUUUUUCCCCGAUGAACGCAGUGCUGUUUCGUGGCUAGCAUCUCUAGAAGGUGUUCUGUACAUAGACCUCUCGGCCCCUCCCCCGUCGCCCCUCCCCCGUCGCCCCUCCCCCACCGUGCCGUCGAGCCUGCGGCCAGUUUAGCAUGAAUUCCAAAGAUAAUCGGUAGAAAUCGUUUGCUGUUCUUCGCUGAGGUGUUAGUGAUGGACGAGAAAAACCUUCUUUUCCCUCUCUCUCUCUCUCUCUCUCUCUCUCUCUCUCUCUCUCUCUCUGUUUCGAAACGAAAAACUCGAAUCUCACCGCACAGCCCCAUCAUCGCUAUUCACCGUUCACCAGAAUCUAAAGACAGCUGCCUUGAAAGUAUGUAUUUUACAGGAGAGUUUAAAAAAAAAACAACAAAAAAAAACAAUCGUUAUCUUUAAUCGUUGGUUAUAUUUAUAUAGGAAUUAAAAACUGCUUGUGAUGCCCUGUUUUUUGUACAGUUUUAUGUACAUGCAAGUGAAGCUUUUUAAAUCUCGCGACGAAAACGCAGACGGCAUAUAUAAAAAAAAAAUCGUUUUAAAAAAGAAAAAAGAAAAAAAAAAAAAAAAACAAUGUUUAUUGAGACGUGCGCAUCUUUGCCUUGAGUUGAGUCGAUUCUUUGGCCGAGUCGGUGUGAAUGUGGCCGUUCUAUGCCUGCACCGUAGUCGUUUCACUGGCUCCCACUUCCCGAGGGCUUCACCCGAAAGUCUUUUCCGCGUUUAAUCGUGAACAGUGGGCCGUCCGAUCCUCUCCGUUCGUUUGAUUCCCGCGUGUUAUGUUUCAUUCUGUUUUCCGCAUGUUGAGAAUAUACCCCUUGUAAUAAGUCCUUCUUGGGAAAAAAAAAAAAAAAAAGAAAAAAAAACCAAAAAAAAAAAGAGUUUGUAAUAAAAUGAGUAAAGAGAAACGAACAUGCGUGUUGAGUCAUUGUUUACGGGUGACAUCGAAACCUCCUUGGCGCGUCCGCCUCCACUCCACCCACUCCACCCCGACCUUCUCGAACCACGUCUUCAUGGAGCUCGCACUUCAGGAUGGAAACCCGAUUCCACAAAGACGCUCUUCCGACUUUGCCGGAGGAACAACAUACGGCCGUGAUCAUCGGGUGUCCACAUACUUUUGGCCGUAUAGCGUGUAUCCUAUCGAAUAUAACGCGCUGCUGAGCUAAAAGAAAUCAUUUCCGGGUAAUCACGGCCUCUCGAGCUGACAUCACGCGUUCGGGUUUUACCCCUGCUGGAUCCCGAUGGAAGCCGGAGAGCAGAACGUUAUCACGGGUUUGAGGAAAGCGAGCAGCUCUUAUGUCUGGAAGUAACCCGACCCCGAACGUCCGUCAAUAUUAACGCGCUUAGAUAGCGGAUCGUCCCGGCAGCACCGAGCCGAAGAUCGGAGAUGGAAUAGAUAGUGCGUCUUGAAAAGGCACGGGGUGGGAUAUUAGGCCAGAUCUCACAGCCCUUGACGGCGCAAUAAAGAUAAUACGGCGCGGAUUAAAGACGAUAAAUCGAUCCGCCUUUUAGAUACCGCUGAAGGAGAUUCCGCUUCACGCCGAACAAACGAUCGCGUGCGACCAUGCGUACGCAGCUACGCGAGAGGUACAGGCAGGUCGGAAGUGAAGCGGCGGGAGGAAAAAAGGCGAUUAAUUACCAGGCGUAGAGGAAUAUUCGCGCGAGACGACGAGGAGGAGCGGCUCGCGCUGCCCUACGUGUUAGCGGGAGAACAGCGGCUGAGGGAUUACACAUUAAUCUCAGAGGAGAAGAUUAAUGAAUCUAACGCAGACUUUCCUCUGGGGUUCAAUUUCACAUUCUUGGCACCGGUGCUGUGUUAGGAUAAUGAUCAGAUUAGACUGAUCGAAUGAUAAAAACUAUGAGACGACGUCUGGAAUCGCAUACUCCGCCUACACGACUGCAGGAAAGAGGUUCAGCCGCACGAAGUGAACCGUCAUUAGAAGAAGAGGAAAAAAGCUGUCGAAGCGAGACACAUCUCUGGACUUAGCAGAACGACGGGAACGAUCGGUGGCCGUGUUUAAUGCAUUAAGAAACGUUUGGAGGUAAUAUUCGGGGGGUUGACGUUUUGGUGGGACCGUAUCGAGGCCGAGUCUUAAGGGGGUCUGAAAUGAAAACGAGACUGAAAACCAUCAAAUCCUUUUCGAAGCCCGACGAUUAGACGCUUCUCUAGAAGAAGGAAUUAACGUCUAGCAUGGCGGUUAGGGUUCUGAGGAACCGAAACACCAGACUGAGAAGCGCACCGGAGCUAGCUAAUGAAAUUAGGAUUUGUCCACCCCUGUAUUAGCACCCCACAAAAAAAUCCAGGUACUCGGGGUCUGAGUAUGUCCUUAUAUAGGCAUUGCAUCGUCAGCUGAUCAGGUACAGUCUGGACGCAGCAAAGUAUUUCAGCAGCGUGAAAAACGGAGCAGAACCUGCAACAACGUCUGGAGAAAAAAAAAGAGAUGACAGUCAUGGAGAAAGGAAUGUUUUGUUUUUGUUUUGUUCCCCCCCCCCUUGUUUACAGACAUUCAUACCUCCUUUUGUCAUUCCGUGAACUGACGACAUGGCUCAUGCUAAUUUCUGUUUAUUCCGGGGCCUAGUGGGGUCGGGGGGUGGGGGUGGGGGUGGAAUAGGGUGUGGGGUUAGGGGGCAAAUCUAGAAUGCUAUAGAAUCCUCACAGAAAUCAGGUGAGAAUCAUCGCACGUUACUCGCCGGCUCGACCCGCCUCCUCUCCGUCCCGUCUCGGCCACGCCCCCUCCGCCACAUCCCGACGUCUGGUCGCUUCAGAAGGCAUGGCUCGACAACACGACGUCUUCGAACUGCCUUUAUAAGCACCGAACAAAUCGUUAAUCUUUAAACACUUUAAAAAAACAACAACACACAUAUUAUCUCCACUCUUAUCCAGACGUACGUAAUCG